rnacentral:rRNA from 1 species
CAGCAGCCGCGGUAAUACGAAGGGUGCAAGCGUUGUUCGGAUUUAUUGGGCGUAAAGGGUGCGUAGGCGGUUUGGCAAGUCUUGUGUGAAAUCUUCGGGCUCAACCCGAAGCCUGCGCGAGAAACUACCGGGCUUGAGUAUUGGAGAGGUGAGUGGAAUUUCCGGUGUAGCGGUGAAAUGCGUAGAUAUCGGAAGGAACACCUGUGGCGAAAGCGGCUCACUGGACAAUAACUGACGCUGAUGCACGAAAGCUAGGGGAGCAAACAGGAUUAGAUACCCCCGUAGUCCCUGUCUCUUAUAC